GGAUUCCUGAUGUGUACGUUGUUCACCUAGUUUUGACCUAACAUUUAUGAGUAAGGGAGCUUACGUUUUUAAAUGAAGUAAAUGCCUCCGAUUCAGCUCGAGGACUUACAACAUUUAAAACAGGGCACCCACCUGCGGAGGCGGGGCUCAAAACUAAGGGAAAGGCGACGGCACGAUUGGGGUCCU
rnacentral:other from 1 species